rnacentral:rRNA from 1 species
UCGCUGCCCACUGUCACCACCAUUGUAGCACGUGUGUAGCCCAGCCCGUAANCAUGAGGACUUGACGUCAUCCCCACCUUCCUCUCGGCUUAUACCGGCCAGUCCCCUUAGAGUGCCCAACUGAAUGCUGGCAACUAAGGGCGAGGGUUG